GUUUGCAACAGCACAAACAUCUCAGCACAAGAUGCUGGAGGGCAGAGAGUGAACAUGCUGUCCAUGGCUGUGCUGGGUUUGAGAGUCCUGCUGGCAAAGAGCAUCGCCUUCAAUACCCUCAUGAGCAUCAAGUUGUUUCUUUUCUGAGACCUGGGGAAUGAACCCAAAGAAGAGCAGGAAAGAACGUGAACCAGCAGCACAAGGGGGCUGAACAAGCAGGGCCAGAGCUGCUGACAGAGACCAGCCAGGACACGAGGCAGCACCUUCCCCUGAAGACACGCAACACUCUGCACUCCUGCUGGCCAGCUGAUUUACACUGAAGAGUUUUAGGUGCUUUUGCUGUUUCCUCUCCUCUGAACACUGAGGAGAGUGGAUUUAU